UACGUAGGGUGCGAGCGUUGUCCGGAAUUAUUGGGCGUAAAGAGCUCGUAGGCGGUGUGUCACGUCGGCCGUGAAAACCUGGGGCUUAACCCCGGGUCUGCAUUCGAUACGGGCAGGCUAGAGUUCGGUAGGGGAGAUCGGAAUUCCUGGUGUAGCGGUGAAAUGCGCAGAUAUCAGGAGGAACACCGGUGGCGAAGGCGGAUCUCUGGGCCGAUACUGACGCUGAGGAGCGAAAGCGUGGGGAGCGAACAGG
rnacentral:rRNA from 1 species